rnacentral:rRNA from 1 species
UACAGAGGUCUCAACCGUUGUUCGGAUUCAUUGGGCGUAAAGGGUGCGUAGGCGGUCGUGCAAGUCGGAUGUGAAAUCUCAGGGCUCAACCCUGAAACUGCAUUCGAUACUGCGUGGCUAGAGUGCUGGAGAGGAGACUGGAAUUUACGGUGUAGCAGUGAAAUGCGUAGAGAUGUGGAGGAACACCGAUGGCGAAGGCAGCCCCCUGGGCCAAUACUGACGCUCAUGCACGAAAGCGUGGGGAGCAAACAGG